CACGCCCUCCCCCAGGCAACCACUGAUCUAUUACUGUACAUUAGGUUCGCAUUUUCCAGAACUAAUGAGAUAGUAGAACCCCAGGACUCUUCUCUCAGUAUGAUUAUUUUGAGGUUAUUUUGUUGUUACCUGUAACUUGUUCAUUUCUUCUUACUGCUGGGCAGUGAUCAUUAUGGAGGGACUUACCAGAAUUUUCAUCCACUUAGGGCAUUGAGGUGGUGAUAUGCUCUCUCAGCAUCCUGCUCUGGCUACCUGCUCCCAUGCCUCCCCCACCACCAUGAGCUUUUCUGGAAUUGGUUUCUCUAUAGCUUUUCAGGAUGUCCUGGAACGCUCUAAGUAGACCAGAGUGGCCUGGAACUCACAGAAAUCUGCCUUCCUCUGCCUCCUGAGUGCUGGGAUUAAAGGCGUGCACCACCACCUCCCGGCCCCAUUGCCCAGUGUAAUAUUUGAUAUGUAAGAAGUCAUUUAUAAAGUCUUCAGGAG
rnacentral:lncRNA from 1 species